rnacentral:rRNA from 1 species
AUUGCCUUUACGGCUCAGUAACACGUAGUCAACAUGCCCAGAGGACGUGGAUAACCUCGGGAAACUGAGGAUAAACCGCGAUAGGUCAUAAUAUCUGGAAUGAUUCAUGAUUUAAAUCUAUAUGGCCUCUGGAUUGGACUGCGGCCGAUCAGGCUGUUGGUGAGGUAAUGGCCCACCAAACCUGAAACCGGUACGGGCUCUGAGAGGAGAAGCCCGGAGAUGGGCACUGAGACAAGGGCCCAGGCCCUAUGGGGCGCAGCAGGCGCGAAAACUCUGCAAUAAGCGAAAGCUUGACAGGGUUAUUCUGAGUGAUUUCCGCUAAGGAAAUCUUUUGGCACCUCUAAAAAUGGUGCAGAAUAAGGGGUGGGCAAGCCUGGUGUCAGCCGCCGCGGUAAUACCAGCACCCCGAGUGGUCGGGACGAUUAUUGGGCCUAAAGCAUCCGUAGCCGGUUCUACAAGUCUUCCGUUAAAUCCACCUGCUUAACAGAUGGGCUGCGGAGGAUACUAUAGAGCUAGGAGGCGGGAGAGGCAAGCGGUACUUAGUGGGUAGGGGUAAAAUCCGUUGAUCCAUUGAAGACCACCAGUGGCGAAGGCGGCUUGCCAGAAUGCGCUCGACGGUGAGGGAUGAAAGCUGGGGGAGCAAACCGGAUUAGAUACCCGGGUAGUCCCAGCUGUAAACGAUGCAGACUCGGUGAUGGACUAGCUUAAUGCUAGUCCAGUGCCGCAGGGAAGCCGUUAAGUCUGCCGCCUGGGUAGUACGGUCGCAAGACUGAACCUUAAAGGAAUUGGCGGGGGAGCAC